rnacentral:tRNA from 1 species
GUCACUGUGGCCGAGUGGUUAAGGCGUGUGACUUGAAAUCACAUCUCUGCGGAGGCAUAGGUUCAAAUCCUGUCGGUGACG